AUGCAAACAGCAGCACAUAUACUAAAAUUGGAAUGAUACAGAGAAGAUUAGCAUGGCCCCUGCUUAAGAAUGGCAUGCAAAUUCAUGAAACGUUACAUAUUUUU